rnacentral:misc_RNA from 1 species
UCCUAGUUAACCUAGGCAGUCUCACUAGAGUACCCAUCUUUCAUGCUGGUAACUAAUGACAAGGGUUGCGCUCGUUGCUGGACUUAACCAAACACCUCACGGCACGAGCUGACGACAGCCAUGCAGCACCUAUGCAGAAGUCCUUACGGAAAACUACAUCUCUGUAGUCGCCCUCUGCAUUUCGAGCCCAGGUAAGGUUCUUCGCGUUGCAUCGAAUUAAACCACAUGCUCCACUGCUUGUGCGGGCCCCCGUCAAUUCUUUUGAGUUUCACCCUUGCGAGCGUACUCCUCAGGCGGUGUACUUAUCGCGUUAGCUUCGACACAAUCGGGGUUGAGCCCAAUUACAUCAAGUACACAUCGUUUACGGCAAGGACUAC